GUGAGCACAGCCGGGUUCUUCUUUUGGCUUCCUGUUCCCAUGAGGUAAGGGCACCCAGGGCAGGGCUAAGGAACUGCCUUCUUGAGCAGCCUGGGGGCGACCAUGUUCUCUCCUGCCCUCUGCAACUCCGUGUUCCUCCAGGCACAGAGUUUGUGGGGCAGGUUCAUGAUGGUCCACGCAGCUGGUGGGCUCAGAAGUUCAACAGGAUGGUGUUUGGGAUACAUGUUUGCUGCCUUUGAGGAGUGAGAAGGGCUGCUGAAGACACGAGCAGCUGCAGGAAGGAGUUGAUCUGCUUUGCUGCUGCUCUCAUGAGUUGACCCGUAUACACAGUCAAGUUCUAACCUAUGACUUAUUACCCGAAAAGAGAUAGAGUCACCUGAACACACAGUGAAGUCUUCCCUCCGGCACUUUGCACAAGCUGUUCGCUCCGCCUGAAACAUCUC